AGAGUUUGAUCCUGGCUCAGGACGAACGCUGGCGGCAUGCCUAACACAUGCAAGUCGAACGGAGUUAAGCGCUGAUGAAGCUUCGGCAGAUUCUUGCUUAACUUAGUGGCGGACGGGCGAGUAACGCGUGAGCAAUCUGCCCUUCAGUGGGGGACAACGGUUGGAAACGACCGCUAAUACCGCAUAACGUAUCAUGAUCGCAUGAUCGAGAUACCAAAGGAUUUAUUCGCUGAAGGAUGAGCUCGCGUCCGAUUAGCUAGUUGGUGGGGUAACGGCCUACCAAGGCGACGAUCGGUAGCCGAACUGAGAGGUUGAUCGGCCGCAUUGGGACUGAGACACGGCCCAGACUCCUACGGGAGGCAGCAGUGGGGGAUAUUGCACAAUGGGGGAAACCCUGAUGCAGCAAUGCCGCGUGAGGGAAGAAGGCCUUCGGGUUGUAAACCUAAGUUGUCAGGGACGAAACAUGACGGUACCUGAAGAGAAAGCUCCGGCUAACUACGUGCCAGCAGCCGCGGUAAUACGUAGGGAGCGAGCGUUGUCCGGAUUUACUGGGUGUAAAGGGUGCGUAGGCGGGUUUGCAAGUCAGACGUGAAAUGCCGGGGCUUAACCCCGGAGCUGCGUUUGAAACUGUAGAUCUUGAGUGAAGUAGAGGCAGGCGGAAUUCCUAGUGUAGCGGUGAAAUGCGUAGAUAUUAGGAGGAACACCAGUGGCGAAGGCGGCCUGCUGGGCUUUAACUGACGCUGAGGCACGAAAGCAUGGGGAGCAAACAGGAUUAGAUACCCUGGUAGUCCAUGCCGUAAACGAUGAUUGCUAGGUGUGGGGGGACUGACCCCUUCCGUGCCGGAGUAAACACAAUAAGCAAUCCACCUGGGGAGUACGACCGCAAGGUUGAAACUCAAAGGAAUUGACGGGGGCCCGCACAAGCAGUGGAGUAUGU
rnacentral:rRNA from 1 species